AUGCACGCUGGCGGCGUGCCUAAUACAUGCCAGUCGAGCGAACAGACGAGGAGCUUGCUCCUCUGACGUUAGCGGCGGACGGGUGAGUAACACGUGGAUAACCUACCUAUAAGACUGGGAUAACUUCGGGAAACCGGAGCUAAUACCGGAUAAUAUAUUGAACCGCAUGGUUCAAUAGUGAAAGACGGUUUUGCUGUCACUUAUAGAUGGAUCCGCGCCGCAUUAGCUAGUUGGUAAGGUAACGGCUUACCAAGGCAACGAUGCGUAGCCGACCUGAGAGGGUGAUCGGCCACACUGGAACUGAGACACGGUCCAGACUCCUACGGGAGGCAGCAGUAGGGAAUCUUCCGCAAUGGGCGAAAGCCUGACGGGGCAACGCCGCGUGAGUGAUGAAGGUCUUCGGAUCGUAAAACUCUGUUAUUAGGGAAGAACAAAUGUGUAAGUAACUAUGCACGUCUUGACGGUACCUAAUCAGAAAGCCACGGCUAACUACGUG
rnacentral:rRNA from 1 species